UUCAAGAAAAUGACUGGGCUU
rnacentral:piRNA from 1 species